rnacentral:rRNA from 1 species
UACGUAGGGUGCGAGCGUUAAUCGGAAUUACUGGGCGUAAAGCGUGCGCAGGCGGUUUUGUAAGCCAGAUGUGAAAUCCCCCGGGCUUAACCUGGGAUUGGCAUUUGGGACUGCAAGGCUGGAGUGUGGCAGAGGAGACUGGAAUUCCUGGCGUAGCAGUGAAAUGCGUAGAUAUCAGGAGGAAUACCGAUGGCGAAGGCAGGUCUCUGGGCUAACACUGACGCUCAUGCA